GACGAACGCUGGCGGCGCGCUUAACACAUGCAAGUCGAGCGAGAACCAGUCCUUCGGGACUGGGGACAGCGGCGAACGGGUGAGUAACACGUGGGUAAUCGACCCUUGGUACUGGGAUAGCCCGGGGAAACCCGGAUUAAUACCGGAUGGCCCAGCAGCUCUUCGGGGCGGCUGGAAAAGGUAGCUUCGGCCUCCGACCAAGGACGAGCCCGCGGCGGAUUAGCUUGUUGGCGGGGUAAAAGCCCACCAAGGCGACGAUCCGUAGCUGGU
rnacentral:rRNA from 1 species